AGUGAACGCUGGCGGUAGGCCUAACACAUGCAAGUCGAACGGCAGCACAGGAGAGCUUGCUCUCUGGGUGGCGAGUGGCGGACGGGUGAGGAAUACAUCGGAAUCUACUUUUUCGUGGGGGAUAACGUAGGGAAACUUACGCUAAUACCGCAUACGACCUACGGGUGAAAGCAGGGGACCUUCGGGCCUUGCGCGAUUGAAUGAGCCGAUGUCGGAUUAGCUAGUUGGCGGGGUAAAGGCCCACCAAGGCGACGAUCCGUAGCUGGUCUGAGAGGAUGAUCAGCCACACUGGAACUGAGACACGGUCCAGAAUCCGACGGGAGGCAGCAGUGGGGAAUAUUGGACAGUGGGCGCAAGCCUGGUCCAGCCAUACCGCGUGGGUGACGAAGGCCUUCGGGUUGUAAAGCCCUUUUGUUGGGAAAGAAAUCCAGCAGGCUAAUACCCGGUUGGGAUGACGGUACCCAAAGAAUAAGCACCGGCUAACUUCGUGCCAGCCGCCGCAGUAA
rnacentral:rRNA from 1 species